ACGAACGCUGGCGGCGUGCUUAAUACAUGCAAGUCGAGCGGGGUUACUGCGACAGAUCCCUUCGGGGUGACGUUGCUUUAACCUAGCGGCGGACGGGUGAGUAACGCGUGGGUAACCUACCCUAAAGCUCGGGAUAACAGUGGGAAACCGCUGCUAAUACCGGAUGACUUUAACCUAUGGCAUCAUGGGUUAAAGAAAGAUUUAUCGCUUUAGGAUGGGCCCGCGUCCCAUUAGCUAGUUGGUGAGGUAACGGCUCACCAAGGCGACGAUGGGUAGCCGGCCUGAGAGGGUGUACGGCCACACUGGGACUGAGACACGGCCCAGACUCCUACGGGAGGCAGCAGUAGGGAAUAUUGCGCAAUGGACGGAAGUCUGACGCAGCGACGCCGCGUGAGCGAUGAAGGCCUUCGGGUCGUAAAGCUCUGUCCUUGGGGAAGAAGGUCUUCGGACUUGACGGUACCCAAGAAGAAAGCCCCGGCUAACUACGUGCCAGCAGCCGCGGUAAUACGUAGGGGGCGAGCGUUGUCCGGAAUUACUGGGCGUAAAGGGUGCGUAGGCGGCCCUUUAAGUCAGAUGUGAAAGGCCACGGCUUAACCGUGGGAUUGCAUUUGAAACUGGAGGGCUUGAGUGUCGG
rnacentral:rRNA from 1 species